UACGUAGGGGGCAAGCGUUGUCCGGAAUCAUUGGGCGUAAAGAGCGUGUAGGCGGCCCGGUCAGUCCGCCGUGAAAGUCCAGGGCUCAACCCUGGAAUGCCGGUGGAUACUGCCGGGCUGGAGUCCGGAAGAGGCGAGUGGAAUUCCUGGUGUAGCGGUGAAAUGCGCAGAUAUCAGGAGGAACACCAAUGGCGAAGGCAGCUUGCUGGGACGGUACUGACGCUGAGACGCGAAAGCGUGGGGAGCGAACAGG
rnacentral:rRNA from 1 species